UCAAAUGAUGAUCCAAACUCAGACCUGUACUGAGCAUUACAUGCGGACAAACCAUUAUUGCCUUUUAUUUCUGACU
rnacentral:snoRNA from 1 species